rnacentral:rRNA from 1 species
AGAUUGAACGCUGGCGGCAGGCCUAACACAUGCAAGUCGAGCGGUAGAGAGGUGCUUGCAUCUCUUGAGAGCGGCGGACGGGUGAGUAAUGCCUAGGAAUCUGCCUAGUGGUGGGGGAUAACGUUCGGAAACGGACGCUAAUACCGCAUACGUCCUACGGGAGAAAGCGGGAGACCUUCGGGCCUCGCGCCAUUAGAUGAGCCUAGGUCGGAUUAGCUAGUUGGUGAGGUAAUGGCUCACCAAGGCGACGAUCCGUAACUGGUCUGAGAGGAUGAUCAGUCACACUGGAACUGAGACACGGUCCAGACUCCUACGGGAGCAGCAGCGGGGAAUA